rnacentral:rRNA from 1 species
AGCAGCCGCGGUAAUUCCAGCUCCAAUAGCGUAUAUUAAAGUUGUUGCAGUUAAAAAGCCCGUAGUUGAAUUUCGGGAUCGACAUGACGGUCGUGCCUUAAGGGGUAUGAACUGUCGCCGUUGAUUUCUCACCUUCUGGAGAAGCUCGAUGUCCUUAAUUGGAUGUCUUGUGGAACCAGGACCUUUACCUUGAAAAAAUUGAGUGUUUAAAGCAGGCAUUUUGCUCGAAUACAUUAGCAUGGAAUAAUAGAAUAGGACGGCAUGGUUCUAUUUUGUUGGUUUCUAGGAUCACCGUAAUGAUUAAUAGGGAUAGUUGGGGGCAUUAGUAUUCAAUUGUCAGAGGUGAAAUUCUUGGAUUUAUUGAAGACUAACUACUGCGAAAGCAUUUGCCAAGGAUGUUUUCAUUAAUCAAAGAACGAAAGUUAGGGGAUCGAAGACGAUCAGAUACCGUCGUAGUCUUAAACCAUAAAACUAUGCCGACUAGGAAUCAGACGAUGUUAAUUUUUAAUGACUCGUUU